CACAAAUUCCUUGCAUUUGCACUACACACUCAAAACGUUUUAGGCGAGUUAAUCCCCAAACUAUUAUGUCUGUUUAGGCUAAAAAUAGCCUGUUAUUUUUCCUCUGGCAACCUCAGUCAAGAGCGUGGCUCCGCCGUUCAAGCAGGGGCCUGCACAACUCGGAGCCAGCAGCCAGAUGCAGCCUGCAGCGCGUUUUAUCCCCCUGGCACGGCAGACGCCCAGACAGACCUCUAAGUGCAUCUUAAAAAGAAGAAUUGCCAUCAGGAAGAUACUGAUAUAGAAGAUAUAUAUAGUAGUUACAGAGCACAAGCUAUAUUUCCCGUUCUUCCCUGAAAACUAUCUUGCUGAUAAGCACUUUAAAAAUAAUAAUAAUAAUAACAAAAGGGGUCAAAUACUCCACUAACCAGAGAAUGCAAGAGACUGCCUAUGUGUAACAACGCAAUUGCAUGAAUUUACACCUCAGCAUGUUCUCUGUCUGCUAAUCACCACAUCAAAGCAGGCAGCUUUACUCUGCUAUACUGAGCAGAGGGAAACAGGCUAAUGACUGGGCAUGAAACAUCACAGAACAAGCCACGACAUAAGUAAUACUACAUUUGAGAAAACUGUGGAAGUUAUACUGACAUGUGCUAGUCAUUGAUUUAAGAAACUUUCUUGAUUUGGGGCAAACUGAGGACAUUCAUAAACCCAUGGGUCCUGAUGGGGUGCAUCCAUGAGUGCUAAAGGAACUGGCAGGUGUGAUUGUGAAGCCACCCUUGUAAUCUUUGUUCAAUUGUGUCAACUGGGAGAAGUGCUCAAAGUGGAGGAAAGUAAAUGUCACUCCCACCCUCAAGAAGGGCCAGAAGGAGGACCGAGGGAACUACAGGCCAGUCAGCCUUAUCUUCAUCCCCGGGAAGGUGAUGGAACCUAAUGAUGGAACCUAAGCUAAUCCUGGAAACUGCUCCCAGGCACAUGAAGGAAAAGAAAAUCAUCAGGAGUAGUCAGCACAGAUAUUGUCUACCUGGACUUCAUUAAACUCUUUGCUGCCAUCCCCUAUGAGCUUCUCACAGAGAAGCUGUUCAAGUUUGGACUGGGUGAACAGACAGUGAGGUGGAUUGAAAACUGGCUGAACAUCCAGACUCACAGGGUAGUGGUCAGUGGCACAAAGUCUUCUUGGAGGCCAGCAAUGAGUGGAGUACCCCUGGGGUCAAUACUGGGUCCAGCCUUGUUUAGAAUAUUCAUUCGUGAUCUGGACUGUGUGGUGGAGUGCACCCUCAGUAAAUGUGCAGACAACACAAAACUGGGGGAAGUGGCCGGCUCACCGGAGGGCUGUGUAGGUGAAGACGGGUGAUCAGUCUGCUCUACUCAGGUGUUGGUGAGGCCACACCUGGAGUGCUGGGUCUGGUUCUGCACCCCCUCAGUACAAGAGAGACCUGGACAUGCUGGAAAGGUUCCAAGGUAGGGCCACCAAGAUGAUGAAGGAACUGGAGCACUUUUCCUAUGUGGAGAGGCUGAGAGAGCUGGGGCUGUUUAACCUGGAGAAGAGGAGGCUCAAGAGGGAUUUUAUCAGUGUCUAUAAAUACCUGAAGGGAGGUGCAAAGAAGGUGGAGCCAAGCUCUUUUCAGUGGUGCCCAGUGCCAGGACAAGAGGCGAUGAGCAUAGACAGGAAUCUGAACAUCAUGAAGCACUUCUUUCCUGUGCAGGUGACAGAGCACUGGCACAGGUUGCCCCAAGAGAUUGUGGGCUCUCUCUCCUUGAAGGUCUUCAAAGCUGCCUGGACAUUUGUCCUGGGCAACUUGCUCUAGGUGUCCCUGUUUGUGCAGACACGUUGAACCAGAUGACCUCCAGAGGUUCCCUCCCACCUCAGCUAUUAUAUGAUUCUGUGAUAUAUUUAGAGGCUUAUCCCAUGGUGUUUUUUUCAAAUUGAGAUGUUUUAGAGUGCUUUUCCAGACAGCUAUAGUCCAAGCUGGCUGUCCAACAUGCAUGAUUGUGGGAAAAACAAAGAAAGCAGCCUUAGUGCUGUAGCACAUUCCCUGGUCACGUUUCUGGAAAAUUAAUGAGCUGGGGCCUGAGGAAAAGGGAACUCUAAGUGGCACCAGCAGGUGGGUAUCACAACCAAAAGGAAAUGAGCUUAAGUAUGGAUGAGACAAGCAUUAAGACAAAUGCCCAAAUCAAAUUAACUUUCAUUGUAGAAAAAGCC